rnacentral:rRNA from 1 species
CAGCAGCCGCGGGAAUACGUAGGGUGCGAGCGUUAAUCGGAAUUACUGGGCGUAAAGCGUGCGCAGGCGGUUGUGUAAGACAGGUGUGAAAUCCCCGGGCUUAACCUGGGAACUGCGCUUGUGACUGCACAGCUAGAGUAUGGCAGAGGGGGGGUGGAAUUCCACGUGUAGCAGUGAAAUGCGUAGAGAUGUGGAGGAACACCGAUGGCGAAGGCAGCCCCCUGGGCCAAUACUGACGCUCAUGCACGAAAGCGUGGGGAGCAAACAGGAUUAGAUACCCGUGUAGUCCCUGUCUCUUAUA